GGGGGGGACAUGGGCUCGCGCAAAAGAGAGCGGUCGCUCAGGCGGGAGAGGGAAGCGCGCGCGCAACCGGCGCGGUACUUAGUUAAAGCCUAUCCAGUCUAUCAUCCAUAUAAACUGUCAGGAAUCAAGUUUGAUUGCUACUGUAGUGUUUCGUAUUAGCAACUGAAAAGAGAAGUCAAGACAAAGGACAGGCAAUUCUUUACCUUCAUGAUCUUCAAACCGAACUCCAUGCUCUGGAAGGAUAUCAUCUCGAAGUGAAUCGCAAAGCUGCAGAACUUCAAACACUACAAGAACAAUGAAAAUGUUGAAAUUUAAGUAAAAUAUUUUCUCUGGUCAGCUGGAUAUACAUCAAAGUAAAGACCUUUUUUUAAUGAUUCAGUGGGUUUUCUUCAUGAUAUGAUCUUGCUAAAUUUUUCUGUGUUUGUUUUAAAGGAACGAGUAUUCGAGGAAACAAUGUAUACUACGCAAUCUGAGAAAUGGAAUGAUUGAAACUUUACAGGAGAUGCCUCAUUAUAUAUAUUAGUUGUUUGGGUUUUUUUAGUUCUGUGCAGCAUUUUCUCAUUGGCAGCAAUUUUUUCAUAUCUCAGCAAAGAAUCAUACUUAAUCCUGCAUUUCAAGAGCCAGAAUUGACUGAAUUUGGGAACAUCCCUACAAUUAUACAACUUAACCCCCUGCAUAAAUAAACUUUAAUUAUUCCAGUGAAAUUGACUAAAACUGCAAUCUUAAGUAGAUUUCCUUCCACUUAAAUUCUCUCAAUUCUUAAUGACUAAAUAUGUUUAAAAUUGCACCAAAUAAACCACAAGAAAACAUUAUAAGCUCUUUUAAAAAUACAUAAUUGGAACUGCUUUUGUCCACAGAAGCAAAGGGUUCAGGAGCCAAUAGGUGAAUUGAAGUUCCUUAUCUCCAAACCAUAUCACACUGAUAUUUUGCAACAAGAGUUGUUUUUUGCUUUAAAUGCUUCUCAAUGUCCUGAUAUUAUAAUUUAUUUGAGGCAUUUUCUUUCAUCUCAGUUAUCAACUAAACAUUCAAAAACCAAAUAAAGUCUUUGCUAAGAACAGUC